UACGGGGGGGGCAAGCGUUGUUCGGAAUUACUGGGCGUAAAGGGCUCGUAGGCGGCCAACUAAGUCGGAUGUGAAAUCCCCAAGCUUAACUUGGGAACUGCAUCCGAUACUGGAUGGCUUGAAUCCGGGAGAGGGAUGCAGAAUUCCAGGUGUAGCGGUGAAAUGCGUAGAUAUCAGGAAGAACACCCGUGGCGAAGGCGGCUUUCUGGGACGGUACUGACGCUGAGACGCGAAAGCGUGGGGAGCGAACAGG
rnacentral:rRNA from 1 species